ACGGAAGGCAGCAGUGGGGAAUAUUGCACAAUGGGGGAAACCCUGAUGCAGCGACGCCGCGUGAGUGAAGAAGUAUUUCGGUAUGUAAAGCUCUAUCAGCAGGGAAGAUAAUGACGGCACCUGACUAAGAAGCCCCGGCUAACUACGUGCCAGCAGCCGCGGUAAUACGUAGGGGGCAAGCGUUAUCCGGAUUUACUGGGUGUAAAGGGAGCGCAGGUGGUUCGGCAAGUCAGAAGUGAAAAUCCGGGGCUCAACCCCGGAACUGCUUUGAAACUGUCGGACUUGAGUGCUGGAGAGGUAAGUGGAAUUCCUAGUGUAGCGGUGAAAUGCGUAGAUAUUAGGAGGAGCACCAGUGGCGAAGGCGGCUUACUGGACAGCAACUGACACUGAGGCUCGAAAGCGUGGGGAGCAAACAGGAUUAGAUACCCUGGUA
rnacentral:rRNA from 1 species